rnacentral:rRNA from 1 species
UACGAAGGGUGCAAGCGUUGCUCGGAAUUAUUGGGCGUAAAGGGUGGGUAGGUUGUCUCGUUUGUCUGAGGUGAAAUCCCCGAGCUUAACUUGGGAAGUGCCUUAGAAACGGCGAGACUAGAGUUCUUGAGAGGGUAGCGGAAUUCCUGGUGUAGCGGUGAAAUGCGUAGAGAUCAGGAGGAACAUCAGAGGCGAAGGCGGCUACCUGGAAAGAUACUGACACUAAACCACGAAAGCGUGGGGAGCAAACAGG